GGGAGCAGUGUUCUAAACUUCAGGUUAUUUGUGCAACUGCCUUUAGAGCUGACACUGGGGAUCUCUCUGCUUUCAGAUCUUCCAAGGUGGUAGGAGGUGCUGGUUACCCUCAACUUGUUUUAGCCUGCUUGCUGAGACAGUUUAACAAAGUCUGGUUCCUGUGAAUGCCAUAGCUUCUUACAACCACAAAUGAGAACAGAUUGGCAGGAAGACACCAAAGGAGAAAAGCAGUCAUGAAAAGGACUCAAGAAGCCCUCAUACAAAAGGGAACUAGUUUUCCAUAAACACUCCAUAUUGCCCAAGGUCUCCUACCUCCUAGUAAUUUAGAGGUGUCUCUUCCCCAGAUAACAAAUUGAAGUAAGAAGUCAAAAACACAAUUGCUACAAAAACAUAAUUGGAAUUAAUAACAACCAUAAAAUAAUUGAAAAUGAAUCUGGAAGAAUUGAACCAAAAUCAACAACAACAAAAAAAUAAAACAUGCAAACCUCCAAUAAAGAGAUUAAAAAAUACCUCCCAUCACUCUUUUUGAGGUCAAUGUGUAUCGCAUUUUAUAUUUUUUCAGACUUUUUUA